rnacentral:rRNA from 1 species
UACGGGAGGCAGCAGUGGGAAAUAUUGCACAAUGGGCGCAAGCCUGAUGCAGCAACGCCGCGUGAGGGACGACGGCCUUCGGGUUGUAAACCUCUUUUGGCAGGGAAGAAGCGAAAGUGACGGUACCUGCAGAAAAAGCACCGGCUAACUACGUGCCAGCAGCCGCGGUAAUACGUAGGGUGCAAGCGUUGUCCGGAAUUAUUGGGCGUAAAGAGCUCGUAGGCGGUUUGUCGCGUCUGCUGUGAAAACGCGAGGCUCAACCUCGCGCCUGCAGUGGGUACGGGCAGACUAGAGUGCGGUAGGGGAGAUUGGAAUUCCUGGUGUAGCGGUGGAAUGCGCAGAUAUCAGGAGGAACACCGAUGGCGAAGGCAGAUCUCUGGGCCGUUACUGACGCUGAGGAGCGAAAGCGUGGGGAGCGAACAGGAUUAGAUACCCUGGUAGAGAUUAGAUACCCUGGUAGGGAUUAGAUACCCUGGUAGAGAUUAGAUACCCUGGUAGGGAUUAGAUACCCUGGUAG